UACGAUACAGCCUCUGGAAUAGGCUGAAUGUAUGGUUUAUGAAUGAAUUCUCCUGGACACAUUUAACGUAGGUUUAAGACUGGAAAAGAAUAAAUAAUAAAUUUAAAGUAAUAAAAAUAGAGAUAUUAAGAAACACAAAAGGGUGAUUAGAAAGGGAAAAAGGAUAAUUAACAAUCACGUUUUAAUAUAAAAUUCACAUAAAAAUGUUAUCAUAUUUAUGGUAUAACU